ACAUGUAUUCUCUUUUGAUACUUUCCACAGAAUAAGUAGCUAGGUAAAAUUUUUUCUUCUUCUUCUAACAGCCAGAAGUACUUUAGGUAAAUCUUUAAUUCCAGGAUAGGAAAGCUGACCCCUGGAUUAAGAAUCCUUCAAGAAUGAUCCAGUAUGUCAGAUACAAUAUUGAACAUAUACUAUACUCUUGAAUGCUUUUGGUAGUCUUCAGUGAAAAUCAGAUGUUCUUACAAAUAAGUAAAUAUUUUGGGUUUUCCUUCCCAAUGAAGCAGAUGGAAGUCUGGCUGGAUUUUUCCAAGCUCUUUAUGAAGUGAUAUUUACUAUGAUAUUAGUUUAAAUGAAGCUAAAUUAUUCUGCUUUUCGGGUGCAAGCUACAGUGAGACGGCUGGAUCUUCAGAUCUACUUUUAAGGACACCAGUUAAAAACAACAACACAAGAACCACUGAAGGAGUUUCUCUGCCAGCUCAGCGUCUUUGGACUCGGCCGCAUAUUGCAUGGCAUCCUAAG